rnacentral:tRNA from 1 species
GCCCGGCUAGCUCAAUGGUUAGAGCGUGUGGCUUUUAACCUCAAGGCUCCGAGUUCGAGUCUCGGGUCGGGCU